rnacentral:rRNA from 1 species
UACGGAGGGGGCUAGCGUUGUUCGGAAUUAUUGGGCGUAAAGAGCUCGUAGGCGGCUUGUCGCGUCGACUGUGAAAACCCGUGGCUCAACCAUGCGGUCUGCAGUCGAUACGGGCAGGCUAGAAUUCGGUAGGGGAGACUGGAAUUCCUGGUGUAGCGGUGAAAUGCGCAGAUAUCAGGAGGAACACCGGUGGCGAAGGCGGGUCUCUGGGCCGAUAUUGACGCUGAGGAGCGAAAGCGUGGGGAGCGAACAGG